AACAACCUGCAUCGCACGCGCGCCCUCUUUUCCUCCAACCGCCGCCGGUAUAUGCGAUCCGCACGCCGCCCACCCACCGCCGGUUGGGAGCGCGGCCCUCUUUCCUCCAACCGCCACCGGUCGCCCACCCACCACCAGCCUCUCCCGGAGAUAGAGGGACGCCGCCACCGCCGCUGCUCCCUGGGGCCACCAUCGACGGAGCGUCUUCAGGGGUAGGGGAGAGGUCUGACGAGAGCAGCGAGAUGGUGGAUUCCGGCAGGAUCAGGAAGGAGGCCCGUGGGGCAUGGGGCAAGGCGGUGAGCCGGUGAAGCUGGAGGAGACGGCAAGUUCUACCAAGUGGUCAAGAAGCUGUUCCUCAGCGGGACAGCCCCUAUGGCUGGUCGCGGCGUGGCGUCGUGGGCUUGUGGCGACGACGGCUGUGCAUAGGGUCACGCAGGGGCCGCGGUCCAGAGUGUUCCAGCUGCAGGAACAGCUCCUUGCCGAUGAGCGCGGCGCCGGCGGCUGUGGAGAACGGAUUCGGGAAGACGAACAGCCAGGUUCUCGGCCAUCAGGCGCACGGAGUGCACCUCUCGCCGCCUCAGUCUCCUUAGCUAGGGAAACUCCAUGUUGCUGAAAUCCCAGGCAACAAGGCAAAGAAGUUCAAAAAGCGGUGGCUCUAGCAAGACCUCAUACAAGCCCUUUCCUGCAAAAUACAUGAAUAAAAUUCACUCCUUGGACCGUCGUCUGUGAAGUGGAAGAAAUUCCUAGCUAGCUCAUUUCCUACACAUGUGUACACUCUGGUUCCAUUCAGUGAUCUCCCUUCACAGUUGUGAUUCGGGUCGUUGGUGUCUCCAAACUUACUUAUGAUGAUCAAGAACUGCUUUGAAAGAUUUGGUGACCAACUGAAAAAGGUUCAGUGGAUAAGCAUUGGAGUCGAGAAAUUUACACCCGUUCGAUCAAGGGCUGACCUUCCAGUUAAGACAGUUGCCGAGCUUACAGAUAUGGAUCCCUUGGAAACGGAGGUGCCACUCUUUUUAUUCCUAAGCACCAUUUUGCAACGCACGGACAUUUCAGCUAGUAAAGCAUAAUCUGAAACCCGGGGCCAAAAACUUUUCCGGACUUUCCUUUCCUAAAAGAAAAAACAAUAAUUCAUCACGAUUCACUUGUGGCGAUCCAGCUUCAACUGGUCUCUGUCCUGCGGCGGCAAACGUCCCAGCGGCUCUGAGGCAGGCCACGUCGCCACGAUGGGCAUCUUCACUGUAUUUGCUGACGAGUUUUGACCAUUGAUGUGCAAAUUUCGAGCGUUGAUUAGCUUCCGCUUCAUGCAUGUCCUGCAGCCCAAGAUCGACCGUCGUCCGUCCCUUUUGGUCCAGCUGGGCAGCCGAUGCCACAACGCGAUGGUUCGGAAGCUGGUUUAUACCGAUCCUCCGCGUGCCUAUAAGUUUUGGUUGCAGAAGCUGCGUCGUCCCUGCAACACUAACUAAACUGACCACCUUUGCUCCCGGCCGGAACUCGGAAUCGGAAGCCGGAAGCUGCGUGUUUCGGCGAUGGGGAAGACGCUAGAGAAGAUGCAGAGCGCGGCGCAGCAGCAGAAGAGGAAGCGCUACAUCAUCGUGGCCUGCAUCGCCCUGCUCGUCUGCGGCUGCUGCAAACAGCAAAAGCGUACGUAUGGUCAGAAACGGGAUAGUAAUAAGAAGUAGGCUACUGGGCUUUGAUCGAUAACACUGCACACGGUAUCGUGCGUGAAAGUACUGGAUAUCAUAUAUAGCUUGGGCACGCUGCCAAUAUCAUCGGUAUUUUGAUGGUAAAACGAAGAUCUCAAACCAGGCAAGGGGAAAACAGAACAACGACGAGACGAGAAGAAAAGCAUCACCAUUGAUUUGCACAGAUGAAAGAUCAUGUUUAAUUAGUGUGAUUUAUUUCUUUGAAAAAAUAUUUGUGGUGAUUUGGAGCUAGCUCAGGAGGCCGGCCGAAGAUGCAGGCAAGAGUAGGACCAUGUUUUCCUUUUCCAAUUUAUGCAGAAUAUAUAUCUGCUUUGUAAGGAUGAUUGAGGCCGCUAAACAGAGAUUGAUAUGCCGAUAAACGAAGCUGGUUUAUACUA